rnacentral:tRNA from 1 species
CGAGAGUAGCUCAGUUGGUAGAGCAUCAGCCUUCCAAGCUGAGGGUCGCCGGUUCGAACCCGGUCUCUCG